GACGAACGCUGGCGGCGUGCUUAACGCAUGCAAGUCGAACGGAAAGGCCCUGCUUGCAGGGUACUCGAGUGGCGAACGGGUGAGUAACACGUGGGUGAUCUGCCCUGCACUUCUUGAUAAGCCUGGGCAACUGGGUCUAAUACCGGAUAGGAGCCACUUCCAGCGUGAUGGUUGGAAAGUUUUUUCGGUGUAGGAUGAGCUCGUGGCCUAUCAGCUUGUUGGUUGGAUGAUGGCCUACCAAGGCGGCGGCGGGUAGCCGGCCUGAGGGGGUGGACGGCCGCAUUGAGACUGAGAGGCGGCCCAGACGCCUACGGGAGGAAGAAGUGGGGAAUAUUGCUCCAUGGGCGCAAGCCGGAUGCAGCGAGGCCGCGGGGGGGAUGACGGCCUUCGGGUUGUAAACUCCUUUCGCUAGGGACGAAGCUUUUUGUGACGGUACCUAGAUAAGAAGCACCGGCUAACUACGUG
rnacentral:rRNA from 1 species